rnacentral:rRNA from 1 species
GACGAACGCUGGCGGCGUGCUUAACACGUGCAAGUCGAACGGAAAGGCCCUGCUUUUGUGGGGUGCUCGAGUGGCGAACGGGUGAGUAACACGUGAGUAACCUGCCCUUGACUUUGGGAUAACUUCAGGAAACUGGGGCUAAUACCGGCUAGGAGCUCCUGCUGCAUGGUGGGGGUUGGAAAGUUUCGGCGGUUGGGGAUGGACUCGCGGCUUAUCAGCUUGUUGGUGGGGUAGUGGCUUACCAAGGCUUUGACGGGUAGCCGGCCUGAGAGGGUGACCGGCCACAUUGGGACUGAGAUACGGCCCAGACUCCUACGGGAGGCAGCAGUGGGGAAUAUUGCACAAUGGGCGGAAGCCUGAUGCAGCAACGCCGCGUGCGGGAUGACGGCCUUCGGGUUGUAAACCGCUUUCGCCUGUGACGAAGCGUGAGUGACGGUAAUGGGUAAAGAAGCACCGGCUAACUACGUG